rnacentral:rRNA from 1 species
GAUGAACGCUAGCUACAGGCUUAACACAUGCAAGUCGAGGGGAAACGACAUCGAAAGCUUGCUUUUGAUGGGCGUCGACCGGCGCACGGGUGAGUAACGCGUAUCCAACCUGCCCACCACUUGGGGAUAACCUUGCGAAAGUAAGACUAAUACCCAAUGACGUCUCUAGAAGACAUCUGAAAGAGAUUAAAGAUUUAUCGGUGAUGGAUGGGGGUGCGUCUGAUUAGCUUGUUGGCGGGGUAACGGCCCACCAAGGCGACGAUCAGUAGGGGUUCUGAGAGGAAGGUCCCCCACAUUGGAACUGAGACACGGUCCAAACUCCCACGGGAGGCAGCAGUGAGGAAUAUUGGUCAAUGGGCGAGAGCCUGAACCAGCCAAGUAGCGUGCAGGAUGACGGCCCUAUGGGUUGUAAACUGCUUUUAUAAGGGAAUAAAGUGAGCCUCGUGAGGCUUUUUGCAUGUACCUUAUGAAUAAGGACCGGCUAAUUCCGUGCCAGCAGCCGCAGUAA